CGUUCAUCGUAACAUAACUGGUCCGCCA
rnacentral:sRNA from 1 species